AGCACGCCAGCUAUAUGUUUCCAUCAGCCAAACAAAAGUUACGAAUGAAAUACCUCAAUCCUAUACUCUAAUUCAUUUUCUUUCUUUCUAACUUUUAGAUCGUCCUCUAUCUUUUUUAACGUCAUCUUCUUCUCCAUCCUCCUUUCUAACUUCCAUUCUCGAUCUUAAUUUAUCCUCUUUCUCGCACCUCACCUUCUACAUAUGUGUGUAUCUGAAAAUGAAAUUGAAUGUUUUUAGAAUGAUUUUUCCAAUUUAAUAAGGAACACGGUGAAGAUUAUAACAUCUUGAUUCCUGAUUAGAAGAGCUUUUGAUAACCUUGAGCUCUUGAAUUAAAAUCCUUCCCAUGGAGUAUAUCACAUACGCAUCUUUAGUAUGCGAAUGUUGAAGGUGAGAAGAUGUGGGUAUAACAAAAAAGUAACAUGGAGUGUGGUUCAUGCAUAUCCUGAGACCUGAGUAGGGGGAUCUUAACAAAAGAAAAUGAAUGGUCCAGGAUAUUUGGUCUCAUCACCUGUUAACAAACGCCGUUUUAGUCUUCCUCCUUAAUAAAUAACGCGUAAAACGUCCUCAUCACAUUCUACUACUCUACACAGUUUCUCACACAUUUGAGCACCCCUUGCGUAAUCAAGCAAACCCCACUACCCCUCGCCCGGCUCUCUAUAUAAGUGUAUUAAAUAUCGAUAUUACCUGACAAGGCCUCAAGGAAGCAAACAUGGAUGGUUACAUAUUAAAUAUCCAUAGCAUUGCUGCACAAGGCCUCAGCAAAGCAAGUCCAUACUAUGCUCGCGUCUCCAUUCUAGGCGACCAUCAGAUUACAGAGUGGACGACUCAUGUGGAAACACAAGGCGGCAACAAUCCAAGAUGGAACCAACAGAGGAGCAUAAUGCUCAACAAGACUAAUGUGCACCGGGAACUUGUGUAUGUCGUGGUCAAGAUAUUUAACAAGAGGCCUGUGCUAGAUAAGUGUGUAGGACAAGCACGUGUCCCCAUUGGCCAAACCAUCGACUACGAGACUCAGAGAUUUGCGCUUUCAAGAAGCAAGUUUCAGAUCAACAAGGCCAAAGGGGCAAUAAAACUUGCUUGUCGGAUCGAGCCACUUCAAGUGACUGCUGAAACUCAGGAGGCUCAUCAUGCUCAGCAGACUGCUCCUGCUGCAACAGCUUCCUCUUCCAGUUAUCAACAAGGUGGUUUCUGGUAUCCACCACCGCCGCCGCCAGCUUAUUACCAGCCUAUGCCGCAACAGCCCCAGAGGCUAGGACUUGGUGCAAUUGCGCCCCUAGGUAUGAUGGCCGCUAAUAUCUUCGGAGCGUCGCUUCCUGAUGUCAUUCCAUCUGACUUCUGGUGAUCAUUUGCUUCAAUUCUGGUGUAUGAUUGUAGAGUGCUUAUUGCAAUCAUCUUAUUUCAGUAUUAAUGUGUAGAGCCACAGACAGAUGGCGAAUAAUUUAGGGGAUGAUGAUAUGUGUGGUUUUGGGCCAUCAUCCUAGUGUUUGGUUCUUGAUAUUUUUGUGUGUGAUUGUUGAUUUCUUAUUGUACUAUCUUGUUAUUGUAACAUCUUGUUUCAAUAUAUUAAUGUUUUGUGAUUCUUGUCCAUAAAUAUAUAUAUUCAUGCCCUUUUGUUCAA